rnacentral:rRNA from 1 species
UACGGGGGGAGCAAGCGUUGUUCGGAAUUACUGGGCGUAAAGCGUGCGCAGGCGGUUGUGCAAGACAGAUGUGAAAUCCCCGGGCUCAACCUGGGAACUGCAUUUGUGACUGCACGGCUGGAGUGCGGCAGAGGGGGAUGGAAUUCCGCGUGUAGCAGUGAAAUGCGUAGAUAUGCGGAGGAACACCGAUGGCGAAGGCAAUCCCCUGGGCCUGCACUGACGCUCAUGCACGAAAGCGUGGGGAGCAAACAGG